GAAUAGUUGGCAGUUCAUUCCGCAGUGGUGCCCCCUGAUAAAUAAGGGACUAAGCUGAAAUGAAACGAAUGAGUUAUAUCAGAUUACACUGCAUUCAUUAGAUGCAUUUCAUUGGUUCUUUUAUUCCAUGGGAAUCCAACCCAUGAUGUUUUCUCACAGUGGACCAAUAUACAAGCAGCAAAUGCUUCUGAAUGCAAAAAGAGAGUGGACAUCCCUGCUUAUUCCUGCGGUCACGUUUUCAUUGUCCGUCUCAAAUAGCUCUGAGUUUGUGUACGGCUGUCCAGCAUGCAACGUGGCUCCUGUCUGUUUAUUUGCAGACGUCAGAGAUGCUCGGUGUGGUCAAGUGACUGCUGACUUCAUGGAGUCUGAGAAGGUGACCUUGCCCUCAUUGUCUAUAAACAUCAACUGGAGGUCAGCCAGCAGUCAGACCACACCGACGAGCAUUUCCAGCACCGCUGCCCGAGUCCUGGAGGAUCUGCUGUGUCCAUCUGCCUUCAGCGCUCAAUAUUUACCCAAGUAAAGGUGACUCUUGUAUACAAGGAGAUUCCUGUAUAUGAUCCAGCGUCCGUGACAUCUGAACGUAUCAUGGCAGCUCAUGCUACUUUUAGCAUAUCGAGCCUCAUGACUGGACUCGCUUGUCAUGGAAUUUAUCCAGAAUAUUCUUGCAGAGACUUUCACAAAGCCUCAUGUAAACACCCUCCACUGAAGCUUUGAUCAACAUAUACUCAACAGAGCUUGUCUCUUGAAUUUCUCUAAUGCCUGAUAAAAGUUUACGAGAUGAUUAGAUGAUUGUUGUUAGUAUACUCUGGGAUGAACUACAUGUGUUAUCGCUCAUGGCAAAUAAAGUGCACAUUAAAUGCAGAACAGAACAUCACUAAAACUGCACUUUUAUUGAGAAUAAAUUCAAAUGUGAUGUGAGAUGGGAAAAGUGAGUAGAGCAAACUUGGCAAAAGCCUGACUCGAACCCAUUUAACUGCAUUAUGAGCUAGUUCUCAGUACUUAAUGUAAUGUGUGAUAACAACCCAGGCUCAUUGGAAAUAUGUGCCUUGGACUAUUAUUAUUGAGAACUGACAAAUAUAUACCCUGGACUACAUUACAGUUUUUCCUAAUUGCUUUGAUGCAGCCGUCCACUGAAACUCCACAUUUUCAAAACAGUUAACACACAGGCCUAAUUAGCAGCACUCAUGGUUGAAAUGACACAUUUUGCUUGCAAAACACACAUACCGAGUCAAAACAUUUAAAAUAUGCAACAAAAGCUAGUUUUACCUUCAAACAACACAACUUGCAAACAAGUAUAAGAGCUCUUUCAAUUAAUCAUUACACAAUGGACAACAAAAUACAAAAUACAGAAGAAAAAAGCUGUUUAAUCAAAACAGGUUUCGUUUAAAAGCACCAAAAUACAUAGUCUAUAUUUACUGAAAAAUGGAUCAAAAUAAUAACUUUCAUAGCGGGUGUACUCAUUUAUGCUGUGACUGAAUUAAGAGUAUAAGCCAGUGCAGGUUGGUAU
ensembl:lincRNA